GUAUAUAACUAAGCGGAGGAAAAGAAACUAACAAGGAUUCCCUCAGUAACGGCGAGUGAAGCGGGAACAGCUCACCAUGAGAAUCUGAAAGGUUUUGCCUUUCCGAGUUGUAGUCUCUAGAAGCGCAGCCAGCAGACGGAGAGGGUUAAGUCCCUUGGAACAGGGCGCCUGAGAGGGUGACAGUCCCGUUCAUACUCUCUCCACUCUGCGUACGGCGUGCUCUCAGUGAGUCGAGUUGCUUGGGAUUGCAGCUCAAAGUGGGUGGUAAAUUCCAUCUAAGGCUAAAUAUGGAUGGGAGACUGAUAGCGAACAAGUACUGUGAAGGAAAGAUGCAAAGAACUUUGAAAAGAGAGUUAAAGAGUGCCCUGAAAUUGCUGAAAGGGAAGGAAAGGAAGUCAGUGUGAUUCUCUGUCAUUUUCCCACUCGCCUUCGGGAGAGUGG
rnacentral:rRNA from 1 species